AGCUUGUUGGGCCUGAAUUUACCCGGCCGUGUCCAGCAAGGCCCGCAAUAGGCGCACAUGGACAUGGGCUCCCAGUAGCCAGGCCAGGAGAUACAGAUGCGAGCUGCCUCAAAAAGUAAAAAAAGUAAAAAAAAAGACGCGAGCUGCCUCGUCCUCUUCUUACCCGACCCCCAAAUCUGACACAGCGCCGGCCACCCCGCCGGAAUCCGGCUCCACCAGUCGGCCCCCUCCAAGCCGCGGUUCACUCGCCGAUCCAUUGCGGUGACGCCGGCAGCGGAGGUCGCCGGGGACAGGAGACGACGAGGGGGAUGGAGGCCGCCGUACUGGAUCCCCUCGGUGGCCACGCGCGACCUGCGGAGCGACGGGAGGCGCCGGCGUCGACCGUGCACUGUGGCAAUGGUGAAGAUGCUGCUGCUGCAGAUGAUGACUCCUGGUGUGAUGCUUCAGAUUCUACAGGACAUGAUUCCAGCUUACACAGAGAAUGGACCCACAGGCAGGACCAGUUUCAUAAGAUGGGCUAUAGGGAUGGUAUAACAGAAGGGCAGAAGGAUGCUGCCCAAGAGGGGUUCAACCUUGGGCAUAGGCAGUCUGCGGAUGUUGGAUACAAGUGGGGUCUUGUUCGGGGGAUUACUAGUGCAUUUGCUAGUCUUUCCGACAGUCUUAAAGAAAAGUGGCUGCUCGACGCCCAGCGUAGAGGAAAACUUGAAGAUUUGCAUAACUUCGUGCAAGAAAUUUCAGCACAGGGUGCUCUGCAGUUGUUUCACGAGAGUACUCUUAAGAAUAAUCUUCGACCAGAGGAGAGCAAGCUCCAAACAAUUACAAAGGACCUUCUCCUGUUGUUGCACGAAUGCCCAGAUGUUCAUGUUAGUGAAGAGUUGAAACGAGUUCCAUAAGCAAGGUCAUACAUGAAAUUGCAGGCACCACUGAUUUUGAAGUCUGAUAGAAUCACCCACACCUAGUCUUCUGAAGGAUGUAGCAAGGGCCUGAAGAACUAUCCCAAGCAGACUGGAUUUUCAUGGAACAUGUGACAGACUGUGUUAUCGCCGACCUAAGUUUGACUCCAAUGGCGGAGUCUGUACACGGCAUGGACGAUCUCGACCAUCUCAUCACCCAUGAACUCUCAGAGAGCAGGCUGUUCAUGCGUGGAACAUGUGACAAACCACAUUGGUGCCAACCUAUGUUUGACUACUCCAAGAGUUAUGAUUGAUUGGAAAUUGCCAUUAGAUUACUACAUGUUUUUCUUUUUCUUUCCUAUAUCUUGUUUCGCUGGAACAUUCUAGUGAUCAUAUAUCGGUGAAACCUUCGGUUACCUUAGAGAGUGUGAGUUGGCUUUGAUAGCAGUUCAACCCUGUAGUAUUAACUUAACCUACAAUGACAUGCUGUGGUUUUUAUU